GCCCCCGUGGCGAAAUGGUAGACGCUGCGGACUUAAAAUCCGCCGCCGCAAGGCAUGUGGGUUCGAUUCCCACCGGGGGCA
rnacentral:tRNA from 2 species